UGAGCAAUCUGCCCUUCUCAUCGGAAUAAGCGUUGGAAACGACGUCUAAUGCCGAAUACGACCUCCUUUCACAUGAUCGGAGGUGGAAAGCUCCGGCGGAGAAGGAUGAGCUCGCGGCCUAUCAGCUAGUUGGUGUGGGUAAUGGCUCACCAAGGCGACGACGGGUAGCCGGCCUGAGAGGGUGACCCGGCCACACUGGGACUGAGACACGGCCCAGACCUCCGUAGGGAGG
rnacentral:rRNA from 1 species